GAUGAACGCUGGCGGCGUGCCUAAUACAUGCAAGUCGAGCGAACAGACGAGGAGCUUGCUCCUCUGACGUUAGCGGCGGACGGGUGAGUAACACGUGGAUAACCUACCUAUCAGACUGGGAUAACUUCGGGAAACCGGAGCUAAUCCCGGAUAAUAUAUUGAACCGCAUGGUUCAAUAGUGAAAGACGGUUUUGCUGUCACUUAUCGCUGCAUCUGCGCCGCAUUAGCUAGUUGUUAAGGUCACGGCUUACCAAGGCGACGAUGCGUAGCCGACCUGAGAGGGUGAUAGGACACACUGGAACUGAGACACGGUCCAGACUCCUAAGGGAGGCAGCAGUAGGGAAUCGUACGCAAUGGGCGAAAGCCUGACGGAGCAACGCCGCGUGAGUGAUGAAGGUCUUCGGAUCGUAAAACUCGGUUAUUAGGGAAGAACAAAUGUGGAAGUAACUAUGCACGUCUUGACGGUACCUAAUCAGAAAGCCACGGCUAACUACGUG
rnacentral:rRNA from 1 species